GUAGGCAUAGAUUUAUAACUAACCUAGAUGCCUAGUCUGUACAUCCCUAGUGAAGCCAUUUCGAGUACGACAUUAUGUCGCCCUCGUGUCAUCGUAUCCGAACGGCCCUCGCAGUACUCAAGGUCGAGUUGGUUUGUGUACACCUCCCGGUUAUAAAUUAAAAAAUACAAGAAAGAUGGUUGUUUGUGCGGUGAAUUGGUGUCACAACACAUCAGUGAAUAAAAACAAACCGCCUGAUAUAACAUUUCAUGCAUUUCCGACUGAUCCGCUUCUGUCUGCGAGAUGGACGGAAAAAAUUAGAUUAAAUAGGAACGAUGCAAUAUGGAAACCGACUAAACAUAGUCGCAUAUGCUCUCGCCAUUUUGAUGAGCAAGUAAAGUAAAUUUUAUUUGUGGAACACAGGUGUUACAGUUAAGGUCUGUAAAAACGAAACGCAACUGUCACUGUCGCACUUAUAUGGAAGACUGAUAGAGAGACACAAAGCGUUUCGUUGUUCGAAGCAAUAGCGAUUGCCACCUUGGCUAGGCCUGCAGGUACAAUUACUAGUACUGACGAUAAAUAGUUAUUUGUUUUACAAGUGGAAAAGUUGUUGUUUAACCGCUCGUGCUAAUAUU